rnacentral:rRNA from 1 species
UCGCCUGUUUAUCAAAAACAUAGUUUUAUGAUAUUUAUAUAAAAUAACUUCUGCCCAGUGUCUAAAAAGAUAAAUGGCCGCAGUACCUUGACUGUGCUAAGGUAGCAUAAUCAAUUGGCUUUUAAUUGAAGUCUAGAAUGAAUGGGAAAAUGGAAUUUAGCUGUCUUAAUUUUUUUAAUUAAAAUUUAUUUAUAAGGUGAAAAUACCUUAAAAUUAAAUAAAGACGAGAAGACCCUAUGAAUUUUUAAAUGUAUUUUUGUUGGGGCGACAGUUUAAAAAAUAAUCUUAAAUUUAUAACAUAUAACGAAUUUUUUAAUAAAAAUUAAAUUACCUUAGGGAUAACAGCAUUAUUAUUAAAAUAGUUUGUGACCUCGAUGUUGGACUAGGAACUAAAAGGCUAACCGUCUUUAUAGGAUUUGUUCUGUUCGAACAAUUUAAUCCUACGUGAUCUGAGUUCAGACCGGA